rnacentral:rRNA from 2 species
UACGGAGGGGGCAAGCGUUACUCGGAAUUAUUGGGCGUAAAGGGCGCGUAGGCGGUUCCGUGCGUCGGAGGUGAAAUCCCCGGGCUUAACCCGGGAGCUGCCCCCGAUACGGCGGGACUUGAGUCCGGGAGAGGGGAGCAGAAUUCCCAGUGUAGCGGUGAAAUGCGUAGAUAUUGGGAGGAAUACCAGUGGCGAAGGCGGCUCCCUGGACCGGUACUGACGCUGAGGCGCGAAAGCGUGGGUAGCAAACAGG